GACGAACGCUGGCGGCGUGCUUAACACAUGCAAGUCGAACGGAAAGGCCCUGCUUUUGUUGGGUGCUCGAGUGGCGAACGGGUGAGUAACACGUGAGUAACCUGCCCUUGACUUUGGGAUAACUUCAGGAAACUGGGGCUAAUACAGGAUAGGAGCUCCUGCUGCAUGGUGGGGGUUGGAAAGUUUCGGCGGUUGGGGAUGGACUCGCGGCUUGUCAGCUUGUUGGUGGGGUAGGGGCUUAGCACGGCUUUGACGGGUAGCCGGCCUGAGAGGGUGACCGGCCACAUUGGGACUGAGACGCGGCCCAGACUCCUACGGGAUGCAGCAGUGGGGACUAUUCCACAGUGGGCGGAAGCCUGGUGCAGCAGCGCCGCGUGCGGGAUGACGGCCUUCGGGUUGUAAACCGCUUUCGCCUGUGACGAAGCGUGAGUGACGGUAAUGGGUAAAGAAGCACCGGCUAACUACGUG
rnacentral:rRNA from 1 species